UACGUAGGGGGCGAGCGUUGUCCGGAAUGAUUGGGCGUAAAGCGCGCGCAGGCGGCGAGGUAAGUUGGGUGUUUAAACCUAGGGCUCAACCUUGGGUCGCAUCCAAAACUGCAUCGCUUGAGUGCAGAAGAGGAAAGUGGAAUUCCACGUGUAGCGGUGAAAUGCGUAGAUAUGUGGAGGAACACCAGUGGCGAAGGCGACUUUCUGGGCUGUCACUGACGCUGAGGCGCGAAAGCGUGGGGAGCAAACAGG
rnacentral:rRNA from 1 species